CCAGCCCCUGUGCGGCUACGCCGGCGACCGGAGACCGUGCCGGCCGCUGGAGGUCACCGAUCCACUGGUCCUCAGCAGCCUGAUCGUCCUGCUCGGACUGGUGGCGCUCAGCGUGGCAUUGAUCAUUAUGUCCAGAUUACGGAGCAAGCAGCUAGAGCUAAAAAGCAAAUGGCAAAUUCACCUGUCGCAGCUAACUCCUUGUCCUGAAGACAACGAAUCAACGUACGACAUUGGCGACGAUCACCGUCCACCGCUGUGGGAGAGCUCCACCUCGCUGCCGUCCCGCGUCUCCUUCCGCGGCAGCAACGUGUUCCUCAAGCCCAUCGGCGU